rnacentral:rRNA from 1 species
UACGUAGGUGGCGAGCGUUGUCCGGAUUUACUGGGCGUAAAGGGUGCGUAGGCGGAUAUUUAAGUGGGAUGUGAAAUACCCGGGCUCAACUUGGGUGCUGCAUUCCAAACUGGAUAUCUAGAGUGCGGGAGAGGAGAGUGGAAUUCCUAGUGUAGCGGUGAAAUGCGUAGAGAUUAGGAAGAACACCAGUGGCGAAGGCGACUCUCUGGACCGUAACUGACGCUGAGGCACGAAAGCGUGGGGAGCAACCAGG